GAUGAACGCUAGCGGCAGGCUUAAUACAUGCAAGUCGAGGGGGAUCAGUUGGGUAGCAAUUCUUGGCUGUGAGACCGGCAAACGGGUGCGGAACACGUACGCAACCUUCCCAAAACUGGUGAAUAGCCCUCCGAAAGGAGGAUUAAUACCCCGUAACAUAUAGAGAUGGCAUCAUUUUUAUAUUAUAGCUCCGGCGGUUUUGGAUGGGCGUGCGCCUGAUUAGGUAGUUGGCGGGGUAACGGCCCCCCAAGCCUGCGAUCAGUAACUGGUGUGAGAGCACGACCCGUCACACGGGCACUGAGACACGGGCCCGACUCCUACGGGAGGCAGCAGUAAGGAAUAUUGGUCAAUGGGCGAAAGUUUGAACCAGCCAUGCCGCGUGAAGGAUGACGGCCCUUUGGGUUGUAAACUUUUUUUAUUUGGGAAGAAAAAAGGGAAUUUUUUCCCACUUGACGGUACCAGAGGAAUAAGCACCGGCUAACUCCGUG
rnacentral:rRNA from 1 species